GCUGCUGCUGUAGCCCAGUUAUCACCAGCAACCAUGAUGAUAGUAAUGUUCAUUGAGUGAAGAUAAUGUUUGAAAUGGUACCAGGCAUGUUGGUUGAGGUUGAUAAAGAUUGAAACUUUGAAUAAAAGGUUUGAAGAAAUCUGUGUUUUUCUAGAGAGAAAAGGAAGAGCAAGAGUCUGUAUUUUUUCAUAUUAAGAAGAAAAGAAAAAUUACAAGGACUAUAUUUAUCACAGCUGGUCUAAAAACAGAUCCUACAUAUAGGGACCUAGAACUCCUCUCCGGUCAUUAAUGGUCAUCGGAGGAUAUCAUCCAUCCACUUGGAAGAAGAUGGGAAAGCUCAGUACAAUUAAAAAGACAAAACACCAGCUGUAAUCUUUCUAAAACUAGAAAAAGAAACUAGCCGUUGAAUUUUAAUGGCUCCUUCUAAUUUAGUAAGGUCUUCAUUUCUUCACAUUUCUCAGCUCCCUUUCGAUUUCAUCUGCAGGUUUAGCUUUUGCAGGAUAACUCUAAAGCUAGGAGGCAGCUUAAUUCUCAACAGCCUCUCCUAAGCUGCUUACUGGCUUCACUCCUAACUUCAUCCUCAAGUAAUUGAAUCGAUCUUUAGGCAAAGCUUUUGUAAAUAUAUCUGCCAACUGUUCUUCACUCCUGCAAUAUUCCACAUUAAUGGAUCCUUGCUGCAAUGCUUCCCGAAUAAAAUGAUAUUUCCUGUUUAUAUGUCUGGUUCUCUGAUGAAAGACUGGAUUUUUGACCAUCGAUAUUGCUGACAUGUUGUCACAAAACAAUGGUGUUGCUUAAGUUUGCAUUUCACCAAAAUCAUCCAACACAAAUCUUAGCCAGAUAGCUUGAGUUGUUGCCUCAGCUGCUGAGACAUACUCUGCUUCUGCAGUUGACAAUGCAACUGUGUUUUGCUUGACUGAGGCCCAUGAAAAUGUACCACUACCAAAACUGAAUGCAUACCCAAAUGUGCUCCUACUGUCAUCUUCACUGCCAGCCCAAUCUGAGUCACAAAAUCCAAUCAAAACAGCAUCCUUGUCCCUUGUAAAUUCAAUGCCAUAGCUGAGAGUACCUUGAAUGUAUUUGAGAACUCUUUUAGCUAUUCCCAUGUGCUUCUUCGUGGGACCAUGCAUGAAUCUUGAUAACAAACUGGCUGCAUACAUUAUGUCAGGCCUAGUUGCAGUUAAAUAUAACAGACUGCCAACUAUUUUCCUGAACAAACCUUCAUCAGCCAACUCACUUCCAUCAACUUUCUUCAGUUUCUCACCCGUGGGUAGAGGAAUUGUCACUGACUUACAAUCCUCCAGACCAAACUUUACAAGUAAAGACUUUGCAUAUUUGCUUUGAUGAAUAAAUACCCCUUUAUCAGUUUGUAGAACUCCCAUUCCCAAGAAAUGAUGUAAGAGUCCUAAAUCAGUCAUCUCUUACUUCUGCAUCAUGUCUCUUUUAAACUCACUGAGCAAUGUAUUGCUGCUUCCAGUGUACACUAUAUCAUCAACAUAUAUAGAGACAAUGAUCAGUUUUCCUUCUUCAUCAGUUCUGGUAUAUAAGGUAGCCUCACUGGUGCUUCUUUUGAAAUUGCAACUAGUGAGAUAUGUGUCAAUCUCACUGUACCAGGCUCUAGGAGCCUGCUUCAAACCAUAGAGAGCCUUCUUUAACUUAUAGACCUUGUGACUUGCAUUUUCAACUUCAAAACCCUCUGGUUGCUCAGUGUAAACCUCCUCCUCAAGUACUCCAUUCAAGAAGGCUGACUUAACAUCUAAUUGGAACAACUUCCAACACUUUUGUGCUGCAAGUGCAAUCAAGGUUCUAAUUGUAUCUAACCUUGCCACUGGGGUAAAGGUUUCAUUAUAGUCAAUACCAGGUUUCUGAGCAUACCCUUUGCCACAAGCCUAGCCUUGUGUUUUUGAACUGUUCCAUCCAGAUUCAACUUGGUUUUGAACACCCAUUUGACUCCUAUGACUGGUUUGUUUGCAGGUCUUUCCACCAGCUCCCAAGUUCCAUUCUUUUCAAUAGUUUCAAUUUCAGCAUUCAUUGCUUCCUUCCAUGCUUUGUCUUCAAUAGCUUCAUGAUAGGUUUCAGGUUCAAUAAUGGUCAUAUGACAUCUUGCAUAGAUGUCCUCCAAGCUUCUCAGCUUUACUGGUGUAUUGCUUGGUGUUGAACCUUGACUGGUACUGACUAUGUUGUUUCCAGGGACAUGUUCAUCAUCUGAGACUAAUUGAGUGAGAUUUGGAGAGUCAAUGCUGUGAGUUUCAUGAGGGGAUUCUUCAGUUUCGAUUAUCUCAGAAUUUUCAUUUCCAAUGGUGAGAGGCAUGUAGACAGUUUCAUCUUGCUUGCUUUCCCAAUUCCAGGACUUGUUCUCAUCGAAUACAACACUUCUUGAGAGUAUGAUCUUCUUAGUUUGAAGAUUAUAGAUCCUGUAGCCUUUCUCACAGCUGCCAUACCCCAUAAAAAUUCCCUUGCUUGCUUUGUCAUCAAAUUUCUGUCUAAGAUUUGAUGGAAUGUGACUGUAACAAAUACUUCCAAACACUCUCAGAUGUUUUACACCUGGUUUUCUCCCUGUGAAGGCUUCAAAUGGUGUUUUGUCUGAGACUGCAGUGGUAUAACACCUAUUUUGCAGAUACACUGCAGUGCCAACUGCUUCAGCCCAAAACUUGACAGGAAUUUUCUUCUCAGACAUCAUUGAUCUUGCCAUUCUCCAAUGGUUCUAUUUCUUCUCUCAGCAACCCCAUUUUGCUGAGGUGAGUAGGCAAUAGUCAGCUGCCUCUCCAUGCCAAGAUCACUGCAAUACUCAAGGAAUUCAUGUGAGGUGUAUUCUCCACCUCUGUCACUUCUUAGUUUCUUCAAUUUGAAUCCACUUUGAAGUUCAACAAAUGCUUUGAAUUUUUUGAACACAUUUAUCACAUCUGACUUGUUUCUGAGGAAAUAUACCCAACACAUCCUUGAGAAAUCAUCAAUGAAUGUGAUGAAGUAUUUGUUCCCUCCAAUGGACACAUUUUGCAUUGGACCACAUACAUCCGUGUGCACCAAUUCAAGUGGAUUGUUUGCUCUCCAAGGUUUCUCAUUCUCAAAUGGUUCUCUGUGACUUUUACCAUACACACAGCUUUCACAUACUCCUUCUUUUUCUGAGAAAUCAGGUAAACCCAACACUAUUUGUGUUUGCUGCAUUUUCUUCAUGCUAGUAAAGUUCAAAUGGCCCAAUCUUCUAUGCCAAACCCAUGGAUCUUCUUGUAUUGCUGCUUUCCUUGCCACUAAGUUGACAGAUUCCAUGGACAAUGGGAAACAUCUAUUUCCAGUCAUUGCACUUUAGCAACAACAUUAUCAAGACUACUAUCAUCACAUAUUAAUGCAUAGUUUCCUCCAAAUAGAAUGUAGUACCCAUGCUCCAUCAUUUGCCCUAUGCUCAGCAGAUUUUCAUCUAAUCCAGGAACUAACAGCACUUCAUUUAUGCACCUUCUCCCUUUCCGUGUCUCAACUACAAGUGUCCCUUUUCCUGUGGCUUGAACAAGGUCUCCAGUGCCCAUUUUUACUUUGCAGGUCACUGACUUAUCAAGAUUAAUCAAUAAAGACUCUUGAGAGGUCAUGUGGUUGCUGCAUGCACUGUCCACAAACCACACAGACUUGCUUGAUGCAAUUGUACUUGCAUGACAAGCAUAGAACAUGGUUGUUGUGACUGCAUCUUCUUCCUUUGCACAAUUUGCAACUUGUUUACCAUUGUCACAAUCCUUAGUUAAGUGAUCAAAUCGAUUGCACCUUCCACACUUGGGUUUUCCUUUAUAUCUGCGUAUACCAAAAUGGUAAUUGUCACAUACUUGACAUAGCGAUUUCACAUUUCCUUGGCUGCCACUUGGUUGUUUGUUGUGUGCAGUAAAUUUGUUGUUCCAGCCACUACCACUGCCAUUAUUCCAGUUGUUAUGAGACCAAUUCUUACCCUUCUUAUACUGACCCCAUUUUGGAUUUGUCUUAUACUGAGACCCUUUGACACUUUCAGUGCCAUUUCCAUUUUCUCCAACUUUAAGGCUACUGAAAGCCCUCUCAGUACCUGUGUAUUUCUCUCUUUCAUCAUGCAAGUCUUCUCUUUUAUCAUAGACUUUCACUGAAGCUAAGACUUCCUCAACUCUAAUAGUGUCUAGAUCUCUGGUUUCUUCAAUGAUUGACACUAUGGACUUAUAUCUCCUACUUAGACUCAUCAACAACUUUUGAACAAUUCUUUUCUCUGUUACAUAUUCUCCUAGAGAUUUCAAGUUGUUGACUAUCUCAAAAAACCGAGCCAAGUAGUCAUCCAGAGAUUCAACAUCAUUCAUCCUUAAAUAUUCAAAAUCAGCUCUAAUGGCUUGUAAUUUCACAGCUCUUACCUUUUUAUCUCCUCUGAACUCUCUUCUCAGGAUUUCCCAAGCUCCUUUAGCAAUCUUUUCAUUUCUGAUGCGAGGGAAGAGCUCAUCUGUUAUGGCUCCCUGAAUGAGACUUAGCGCCUUAGCGUUUUUUAUUUUGUCUUAUCUGGAGAUGGUGGGUGCUUCCACUGGAGUUUGCUCAACCUCACCUUCUUCAUCUCCAGAGCCUUCUUCCUCCUCGGGAAUCUGCUGCGGUCGUACUCCGAGUUCUACCACAUCCCAUAGAUAGUAGGCUAUGAGAAUGGUUUCCAUUUUCACGCCCAAAAAUCGUAGUUUGAGCCAUUAAAUUGUGGUGUUCGUAAAUCACCAUCGGAGGAGCUUGAUCCAACCAUCUUCUCAGGUAACACAGCUCAAAUGGUUAUAAAGGUACCACCUUUAAGGUUUUCUGAAUUUUUUUUUAAUGGAUCUCUCUCACAGUAUCACGCCCUCUCUUCGGAAUCAGACCUAGUGCUCUGAUACCAUGUUUGAAAUGGUACCAGGCAUGUUGGUUGAGGUUGAUAAAGAUUGAAACUUUGAAUAAAAGGUUUGAAGAAAUCUGUGUUUUUCUAGAGAGAAAAGGAAGAGCAAGAGUCUGUGUAUUUUUUCAUAUUAAGAAGAAAAGAAAAAUUACAAGGACUAUAUUUAUCACAGCUGGUCUAAAAACAGAUCCUACAUAUAGGGACCUAGAACUCCUCUCCGGUCAUUAAUGGUCAUCGGAGGAUAUCA
rnacentral:lncRNA from 1 species